CACGGGUGAGUAACGCGUAGAUAACCUGUCUUCAUGUCUGGAAUAAUACGCCAAAGGGGUACUAAUACCGGAUAUUCUUGCUUUUCAUAAGUUAUGCAAGCAAAGGUGGCCUCUGCAUAUGCUACUGCAUGAAGAGGGGUCUGCGUACCAUUAGCUAGUAGGUGGGGUAAUGGCCUACCUAGGCGACGAUGGUUAGCGGGUCUGAGAGGAUGAUCCGCCACACUGGCACUGGAACACGGGCCAGACUCCUACGGGAGGCAGCAGUGAGGAAUAUUGCGCAAUGGGGGAAACCCUGACGCAGCGACGCCGCGUGAGUGAGGAAGGCCUUCGGGUCGUAAAGCUCUGUCAAGAGGAAAGAAGUGUACAAUGGCUAAUACCUGUUGUAUUUGACGGUACCUCUAAAGGAAGCACCGGCUAACUCCGUGCCAGCCGCCGC
rnacentral:rRNA from 1 species